rnacentral:rRNA from 1 species
GAUGAACGCUGGCGGCGUGCCUAAUACAUGCAAGUCGAGCGAACAGACGAGGAGCUUGCUCCUCUGACGUUAGCGGCGGACGGGUGAGUAACACGUGGAUAACCUACCUAUAAGACUGGGAUAACUUCGGGAAACCGGAGCUAAUACCGGAUAAUAUAUUGAACCGCAUGGUUCAAUAGUGAAAGACGGUUUUGCUGUCACUUAUAGAUGGAUCCGCGCCGCAUUAGCUAGUUGGUAAGGUAACGGCUUACCAAGGCAACGAUGCGUAGCCGACCUGAGAGGGUGAUAGGCCACACUGGAACUGAGACACGGUCCAGACUCCUACGGGAGGCAGCAGUAGGGAAUCUUACGCAAUGGGCGAAAGCCUGACGGAGCAACGCCGCGUGAGUGAUGAAGGUCUUCGGAUCGUAAAACUCUGUUAUUAGGGAAGAACAAAUGUGUAAGUAACUAUGCACGUAUUGACGGUACCUACUCAGAAAGCCACGGCUAACUACGUG